rnacentral:rRNA from 1 species
AGUGAACGCUGGCGGUAGGCCUAACACAUGCAAGUCGAACGGCAGCACAGUAAGAGCUUGCUCUUACGGGUGGCGAGUGGCGGACGGGUGAGGAAUACAUCGGAAUCUACUUUUUCGUGGGGGAUAACGUAGGGAAACUUACGCUAAUACCGCAUACGACCUGCGGGUGAAAGCAGGGGAUCUUCGGACCUUGCGCGAUUGAAUGAGCCGAUGUCGGAUUAGCUAGUUGGCGGGGUAAAGGCCCACCAAGGCGACGAUCCGUAGCUGGUCUGAGAGGAUGAUCAGCCACAAUGGAACUGAGACACGGUCCAGACUCCUACGGGAGGCAGCAGUGGGGAAUAUUGGACAAUGGGCGCAAGCCUGAUCCAGCCAUACCGCGUGGGUGAAGAAGGCCUUCGGGUUGUAAAGCCCUUUUGUUGGGAAAGAAAAGCAGCAGGUUAAUACCCCGCUGUUCUGACGGUACCCAAAGAAUAAGCACCGGCUAACUUCGUG